rnacentral:rRNA from 1 species
AUUGAACGCUGGCGGCAGGCUUAACACAUGCAAGUCGAGCGGGGGAAGGUAGCUUGCUACCGGACCUAGCGGCGGACGGGUGAGUAAUGCUUAGGAAUCUGCCUAUUAGUGGGGGACAACAUCUCGAAAGGGAUGCUAAUACCGCAUACGUCCUACGGGAGAAAGCAGGGGAUCUUCGGACCUUGCGCUAAUAGAUGAGCCUAAGUCGGAUUAGCUAGUUGGUGGGGUAAAGGCCUACCAAGGCGACGAUCUGUAGCGGGUCUGAGAGGAUGAUCCGCCACACUGGGACUGAGACACGGCCCAGACUCCUACGGGGGGCAGCAGUGGGGAAUAUUGGACAAUGGGGGGAACCCUGAUCCAGCCAUGCCGCGUGUGUGAAGAAGGCCUUAUGGUUGUAAAGCACUUUAAGCGAGGAGGAGGCUACUCUAGUUAAUACCUAGGGAUAGUGGACGUUACUCGCAGAAUAAGCACCGGCUAACUCUGUGCCAGCCGCCACCGUAA